rnacentral:rRNA from 1 species
AGUCUGGUGCCAGCAGCUGCGGUAAUACCAGCUCCAAUAGCGUAUAUUAAAGUUGUUGCAGUUAAAAAGCUCGUAGUUGGACUUGUGUGCGCUGUCCGCGGGUGGCCUGCGCCCAAAAGGGCGUUUCGGUUCGGCCCCGGUGGCGCCUUGGAAUCUGCAGCUGGGGGGGACGUUGGCCUUAACUGGUCGGCGACCGCACGCCGGCUGCUCGGUUACUGUGAGAAAAUUAGAGUGUUCAAGGCAGGCAUUGGGUGCAAUUGAAUACAUUAGCAUGGAAUAAUAAAAUAUGGCUCCUGCCGUAUUUUGUUGGUUUUGACUGGUGGGAGUAAUGAUUGAUAGGGACGGUUGGGGGUGCUAGUAUUGAGCGGCCAGAGGUGAAAUUCAUGGAUUCGCUCAAGACUAACUUAUGCGAAAGCAUUCACCAAGGACGUCCUCUUUAAUCAAGAACGAAAGUUGGGGGAUCGAAGACGAUCAGAUACCGUCGUAGUCUCAACCAUAAACUAUGUCGACUUGGGAUCGGCGGAAGUUUUUUCAUUAAGACACUGUCGGGACCACGGGAGAAAUCAAAGUGUCUGGACUCUGGGGGAAGUAUGGUCGCAAGGCUGAAACUUGAAGGAAUUGACGGAAGGGCACCACCAGGAGUGGAGCCUGCGGCUUAAUUUGACCCAACACGGGGAAACUUACCAGGUCCAGAGAUGUAGAGGAUUGACAGAUUGAAGCUCUUUCUUGAUCACUUCGGUGGUGGUGCAUGGCCGUUCUUAGUUGGUGGAGUGAUUUGUCUGGUUAAUCCCGUUAACGAACGAGACCUCAGCCUGCUAGUGUAGUCGGCUGGAUUGCCUUUGGCGAUCCGUGAUUUCGACUUCUUAGAGGGACAAUCGACGCGCAGUCGAUGGAAGUUUGAGGCAAUAACAGGUCUGUGAUGCCCUUAGAUGUUCUGGGCCGCACGCGCGCUACACUGCUGGGCUCAGCGAGUUUUACUUGGCCGAGAGGCCUGGUUAAUCUUGUGAAAUCCCAGCGUGCUUGGGCUCGCCUCCUGCAACUGGAGGCGCCAACGAGGAAUUCCUAGUAGACGCAGGUCAUCAACCUGCAUCGAUUACGUCCCUGCCCUUUGUACACACCGCCCGUCGUUCCAUAAGAGUGAGGCAUCCGGUGAAUUCUCGGGAGAGCCUGGGCGUGGCCAGCAAUGGUCUGCUCGGGUUUGAACUUGCAUAAACUUGGUGCCUAUGAUUAGGG